GCCUCUCCUGCCUGCCCUUCCCCCUCGUACGAGCGCCAGCAGCUCUGCGCUCGCUACCGAGGCCGCCGGGGACCUCCAGACUCCGAGGAAAGAGAGGCAGGACGGUGCUGGGGCAAGACAUUGCCGUCCGCGAAGGCUGAAGGUCCCGACUGGUUCGCCGAUCCCCAGUGGCGUGGGAGUCAAGAUUCUAUAAGCAUUCACAGCUACCCCAGGAGAAACUGCAGCUACUGGGACUAUUAGCCAAAGUGCUUCCCUGGCAUUACACCAGCCACCGUGCUAGAGGCCCUGCAGAAUACCCAAAGACCCCUGUUCUGAUGGUGGCCCCAGAGACACUCUGGAGUAGCAAUCAUUGAAUGAUUGACAGCAGGGCCUCCCCUCCAUACCAAGCAAGCUGGCAACAAACUCACCAAUCCCUUCGAACCACCGCUACCUGCAAGGCUUCUGACGAAGCGAUAGAAAUUCUUUGAGGAUGUCAACAGGCAUGACCAUAAAGGGGAAUAGGUGCUUAUAAAGCAUCAUUAAUUAUGACAGCCAAGGAGUUCCUGUCAUGGCGCAGUGGUUAAUGUAUCCGACUAGGAACCAUGAGUUUGCGGGUUCGAUCCCUGGCCUCACUCAGUGGGUUAAGGAUCCGGCGUUGCCGUGAGCUGUAGAGUAGGUUGCAGACGCGGCUCAGAUCCUGCGUUGCUGUGGCUGUGGUGUAGGCUGGCAGCUACAGCUCCAAUCUGACCCCUAGCCUGGGAACUUCCAUAUGCCGCAGGAGCAAGUCAAGAAAAGGCAAAAAGACAAAAAAAA
rnacentral:lncRNA from 1 species